AGAGGAAGUAAAAGUCGUAACAAGGUUUCCGUAGGUGAACCUGCGGAAGGAUCAUUAUUGAAAUAGCACGACGGGAAGCUGUUGCUGGCCCUAGUGGCCGUGCACGCUUUCUGUCCUUCAUUUCUCCAUCUAUUUGUGCACCUCUUGCGUAGACCCCUCUGUUAGGACUGCUUUGCAAAAUUGAUUGUGGGCUUUCCUGUUUCUACGUCGUCAUAUACACCAGUGUAACGAUUUGGAAUGAAUGGAAUUUUGAUGCAAUAUAUAAAGCACAACUUUCAGCAACGGAUCUCUUGGCUCUCGCAUCGAUGAAGAACGCAGCGAAAUGCGAUAAGUAAUGUGAAUUGCAGAAUUCAGUGAAUCAUCGAAUCUUUGAACGCAUCUUGCGCUCCUUGGUAUUCCUAGGAGCAUGCCUGUUUGAGUGUCAUAAAUAUCUCAACCGCACCCUAUGGUGGUGUGGCUUGGAUUUGGGGGUGGCAGGCUUAGUCUGCUCCCCUGAAAUACAUUGGCGGUGCCCGACGUGAUGUGAUAAAUUAUCCGUCAUCUGUUUAUGUAGUCUGCCGUGUCGUGUUGGAGUUGAUAA
rnacentral:rRNA from 1 species